rnacentral:rRNA from 1 species
CCUACGGGAGGCAGCAGUGGGGAAUAUUGCACAAUGGGGGAAACCCUGAUGCAGCGACGCCGCGUGAGUGAAGAAGUAAUUCGUUAUGUAAAGCUCUAUCAGCAGGGAAGAAAAUGACGGUACCUGAGUAAGAAGCCCCGGCUAAAUACGUGCCAGCAGCCGCGGUAAUACGUAGGGGGCAAGCGUUAUCCGGAUUUACUGGGUGUAAAGGGAGCGUAGACGGGAGUGCAAGUCUGGAGGGAAAGGCUGGGGCUCAACCCCCGGACUGCUCGUGAAACUGGACGGCUGGAGUGCAGGAGAGGUAAGUGGAAUUCCUAGUGUAGCGGUGAAAUGCGUAGAUAUUAGGAGGAACACCAGUGGCGAAGGCGGCUUACUGGACUGUAACUGACGUUGAGGCUCGAAAGCGUGGGGAGCAAACAGGAUUAGAUACCCUGGUAGUC